CAAGGUGAACGUUGCAGGCUGAGCAGCACAGCCCAGGAGCAAGCCAGGAGCACUGCAGCCCUUCAUAAAGACUUGCAAGCUGCUGCCUCGGGCUCUGGUUUCCUUCUCUCUCUCCCCUUGAGCUCACUCUGUCUCAAAGCAGGGCAGUACCCAGCGCCAAGGCAGAUGUUCACCCCCAGGAGGUCAGCCAGAGCUCACCUUGCCAUCCCCACCUGUGCUGGAGACUGUUCUCAGCGUAGCUGCACUCAGCGGAGUAGCCUUCCCCAUCGGGAGCCUUCCAGCCCAUGGCACACUCCUGCUGCUGCGUGUCUGAGGGGCAGCCAGCACUGAGCACACCUUGCACUCACCCACAGCUGAAGGCCUUCAUCUCCAGAAGGUCUCCAUCCCAGCCCUCUAAGCCAGCCUGGAGGCAGCGACCCAACGCCAGCAGCCUGUGCUUACUCUCCAGCACGUGGGGCUUUUGCACUGGCCACAGAUCACUGCCUCUCAGGAGCUCACUUCUUCCUCCAGCUGUACAGGGCUGCUGAGAGGCUCUCUGCCAGCUGCAGGCACUCUGCAACCAGGGCCACAGCCACCUUU